ensembl:snoRNA
UGCAUCUGUAAUGAAAAUUUGGCUCCCUCUGCUGAAACAUGAGGAGAGUGGCCUUAACCGUUACCCAGGUCUUCUGCGAUGUU